rnacentral:rRNA from 1 species
CUCAAGACUAAGCCAUGCAUGUCUAAGUAUAAACGCUUCUAUACUGUGAAACUGCGAAUGGCUCAUUAAAUCAGUUAUAGUUUAUUUGAUGGUUCCUUACUACUUGGAUAACCGUAGUAAUUCUAGAGCUAAUACAUGCAGAAAGUCCCGACUUCUUGGAAGGGAUGUAUUUAUUAGAUCCAAAACCAGCGCGAGUUUCCUUCGGGGGCUCGGUUGCAUGGUGAUUCAUGAUAACUGCUCGAAUCGCAUGGCCUUGCGCCGGCGAUGAUCCAUUCAAAUUUCUGCCCUAUCAACUUUCGAUGGCAAGGUAGUGGCUUGCCAUGGUGACAACGGGUGACGGAGAAUUAGGGUUCGAUUCCGGAGAGGGAGCCUGAGAAACGGCUACCACAUCCAAGGAAGGCAGCAGGCGCGCAAAUUACCCAAUCCCGACUCGGGGAGGUAGUGACAAUAAAUAACAAUGCUGGGCUAUCGUAGUCUGGCAAUUGGAAUGAGUACAAUCUAAACCCCUUAACGAGGAACAAUUGGAGGGCAAGUCUGGUGCCAGCAGCCGCGGUAAUUCCAGCUCCAAUAGCGUAUAUUAAAGUUGUUGCAGUUAAAAAGCUCGUAGUUGGAUUUCGGGGCAGCCCGGCUGGUCCGUCGCGAGGCGAGUACUGGUCGGCCGCCCUUCCUCUCGAAAGCCCCGACUGCUCUUCACUGCAGUGGUCGGGGAGUUCGGGACGUUUACUUUGAAAAAAUUAGAGUGUUCAAGGCAGGCCAUCGCCUGAAUACAUUAGCAUGGAAUAAUGGAAGAGGACCUCGGUCCUAUUUUGUUGGUUUCUAGGGCCGAAGUAAUGAUUAAGAGGGACAGUUGGGGGCAUUCGUAUUUAAUUGUCAGAGGUGAAAUUCUCGGAUUUAUGAAAGACGAACAACUGCGAAAGCAUUUGCCAAGGAUGUUUUCAUUAAUCAAGAACGAAAGUUAGGGGUUCGA